rnacentral:rRNA from 1 species
GACGAACGCUGGCGGCGUGCUUAACACAUGCAAGUCGAACGGAGCACCUUUGAAAGAGACUUCGGUCAAUGGAUGAGACUGCUUAGUGGCGGACGGGUGAGUAACGCGCGAGGAACCUGCCUUUCAGAGGGGGACAACAGUUGGAAACGACUGCUAAUACCGCAUGAUGCAUGAUCAGGGCAUCCUGGACAUGCCAAAGAUUUAUCGCUUCAGGAUGGACUCGCGUCCAAUUAGCUAGUUGGUGAGGUAACGGCCCACCAAGGCGACGAUCGGUAGCCGGACUGAGAGGUUGGCCGGCCACAUUGGGACUGAGACACGGCCCAG